GGAUGUAGCUCAGUGGUAGAGUGCUUGCCUAAUACAUGUGAGGCACUGGAUUCAAUCCUCAGCACCA
rnacentral:tRNA from 1 species